AGUUCAAAUCAAAUAUAAUCAAUGGCAGAUAUUAUCUGUCAGACUCAGCUGUUAAAGAACUGAUUAUAAUACAUUUUAUAAUAUAUGUCUGAAACCAAUAUCCUGUAAAAUAGUUAACAAGAUAAAUUAUAUGAAAUAUGGACACCCAAAAAUUUCACUUCAGAUGUAGUGGGUAACAAACAAUUAUUAUAUUGCACAGCAGGUGUACUGUGACAAUGUUUACCAAAUACAAUAACUUUAGACUUGGAUGGAUUCACACUGAGAUCAAGGAAUCCCUAUUUGUAAUAACUCAAGGCAUAGAAUAUCUAUGUUUACACUAUUAAAAGCACCUGCGAUGUCAAA
rnacentral:lncRNA from 1 species